UCCGCAGGCGGCCAUGCAAGUUGAGGGUGAAAUCCCCGAGCUCAACUCGGGAAUUGCCUUCAAAACUGCGUGGCUUGAGUUCGGUAGAGGGAGAUGGAAUUCUCGGUGUAGCGGUGAAAUGCGUAGAUAUCGAGAGGAACACCAGCGGCGAAGGCGAUCUCCUGGACCGAUACUGACGCUGAGGGACGAAAGCAUGGGGAGCAAACA
rnacentral:rRNA from 1 species